rnacentral:rRNA from 1 species
UACAGAGGGUGCAAGCGUUGUUCGGAAUUAUUGGGCGUAAAGGGCGCGUAGGCGGUGCCACAAGUCACCUGUGAAAUCUCCGGGCUUAACUCGGAGCCUGCAGGCGAAACUGUGGUGCUGGAGUGUGGGAGAGGUGAGUGGAAUUCCCAGUGUAGAGGUGAAAUUCGUAGAUAUUGGGAAGAACACCGGUGGCGAAGGCGGCUCACUGGCUCGUAACUGACGCUCAUGCACGACAGCGUGGGGAUCAAACAGG